rnacentral:rRNA from 1 species
CCUACGGGCGGCAGCAGUGGGGAAUAUUGGACAAUGGGCGAAAGCCUGAUCCAGCCAUGCCGCGUGUGUGAAGAAGGCCUUCGGGUUGUAAAGCACUUUCAGUGGGGAAGAAAGCCUUGGGGCUAAUACCCUCGAGGAAGGACAUCACCCACAGAAGAAGCACCGGCUAACUCCGUGCCAGCAGCCGCGGUAAUACGGAGGGUGCGAGCGUUAAUCGGUAUUACUGGGCGUAAAGCGCGCGUAGGCGGUCUGAUAAGCCGGUUGUGAAAGCCCCGGGCUCAACCUGGGAACGGCAUCCGGAACUGUCAGGCUAGAGUGCAGGAGAGGAAGGUAGAAUUCCCGGUGUAGCGGUGAAAUGCGUAGAGAUCGGGAGGAAUACCAGUGGCGAAGGCGGCCUUCUGGACUGACACUGACGCUGAGGUGCGAAAGCGUGGGUAGCAAACAGGAUUAGAUACCCUGGUAGUC